GACGAACGCUGGCGGCGUGCUUAACACAUGCAAGUCGAACGGAAAGGCCCUGCUUUUGUGGGGUGCUCGAGUGGCGAACGGGUGAGUAACACGUGAGUAACCUGCCCUUGACUUUGGGAUAACUUCAGGAAACUGGGGCUAAUACCGGAUAGGAGCUCCUGCUGCAUGGUGGGGGUUGGAAAGUUUCGGCGGUUGGGGAUGGACUCGCGGCUUAUCAGCUUGUUGGUGGGGUAGUGGCUUACCAAGGCUUUGACGGGUAGCCGGCCUGAGAGGGUGACCGGCCACAUGGGGACUGAGAUACGGCCCGGACUCCUACGGGAGGCAGCAGUAGGGAAUAUUGCACAAUGGGCGGAAGCCUGAUGCAGCAACGCCGCGUGCGGGAUGACGGCCUUCGGGGUGUAAACCGCUUUCGCCUGUGACGAAGCGUGAGUGACGGUAAUGGGUAAAGAAGCACCGGCUAACUACGUG
rnacentral:rRNA from 1 species